AGUGAACGCUGGCGGUAGGCCUAACACAUGCAAGUCGAACGGCAGCACAGUAAGAGCUUGCUCUUACGGGUGGCGAGUGGCGGACGGGUGAGGAAUACAUCGGAAUCUACUUUUUCGUGGGGGAUAACGUAGGGAAACUUACGCUAAUACCGCAUACGACCUACGGGUGAAAGCAGGGGAUCUUCGGACCUUGCGCGAUUGAAUGAGCCGAUGUCGGAUUAGCUAGUUGGCGGGGUAAAGGCCCACCAAGGCGACGAUCCGUAGCUGGUCUGAGAGGAUGGUCAGCCACACUGGAACUGAGACACGGUCCAGACUCCUACGGGAGGCAGCAGUGGGGAAUAUUAGACAAUGGGCGCAAGCCUGAUCCAGCCAUACCGCGUGGGUGAAGAAGGCCUUCGGGUUGUAAAGCCCUUUUGUUGGGAAAGAAAAGCAGCAGGUUAAUACCCCGCUGUUCUGACGGUACCCAAAGAAUAAGCACCGGCUAACUUCGUG
rnacentral:rRNA from 1 species